AUUGAACGCUGGCGGCAGGCUUAACACAUGCAAGUCGAGCGGAGAUGAGGUGCUUGCACCUUAUCUUAGCGGCGGACGGGUGAGUAAUGCUUAGGAAUCUGCCUAUUAGUGGGGGACAACAUUCCGAAAGGAAUGCUAAUACCGCAUACGUCCUACGGGAGAAAGCAGGGGAUCUUCGGACCUUGCGCUAAUAGAUGAGCCUAAGUCGGAUUAGCUAGUUGGUGGGGUAAAGGCCUACCAAGGCGACGAUCUGUAGCGGGUCUGCGAGGAGGAUCCGCCACACUGGGACUGAGACACGGCCCAGACUCCUACGGGAGGCAGCAGUGGGGAAUAUUGGACAAUGGGGGGAACCCUGAGCCAGCCAUGCCGCGUGUGUGAAGAAGGCCUUAUGGUUGUAAAGCACUUUAAGCGAGGAGGAGGCUACUGAGACUAAUACUCUUGGAUAGUGGACGUUACUCGCAGAAUAAGCACCGGCUAACUCUGUGCCAGCAGCCGCCGUAAUAC
rnacentral:rRNA from 1 species